UACGUAGGGGGCGAGCGUUGUCCGGAUUUAUUGGGCGUAAAGGGCACGUAGGCGGCCAUUCAAGUCGAUCGUGAAAGCUCGGGGCUCAACCCCGAGACUGCGGUCGAUACUGGAUGGCUAGAGGCUGGUAGGGGGGUGUGGAAUUCCCGGUGUAGCGGUGGAAUGCGCAGAUAUCGGGAGGAACACCGGUGGCGAAGGCGGCACCCUGGGCCAGUCCUGACGCUGAUGUGCGAAAGCGUGGGGAGCAAACAGG
rnacentral:rRNA from 2 species